GGUCCUAUAGCUCAGUUGGUUAGAGCACCUGACUCAUAAUCAGGUGGUCCAUGGUUCGAGUCCAUGUGGGACCACAA
rnacentral:tRNA from 5 species